rnacentral:rRNA from 1 species
GCCUAACAGCUAGCCCUCCCUAUACCAAACAAAAGCCCCAAUAUUUUAUACUUUUCUACCACCAAAAUAGACCAAACAAACCAUUUUUCCUCCUAAGUAUGGGCGACAGAAAAGGAGAAUUACAGGAGCAACAGACAAAGUACCGCAAGGGAAAGCUGAAAAAGAAAUGAAACAACCCUCCAAAGCCUAAAAAAGCAGAGCUUAACCCUCGUACCUUUUGCAUCAUGAUUAAGCCAGUACACUAAAGCAAAGUGUCCUUUAGUUUUUUACCCCGAAACUAGACGAGCUACUCCGAGACAGCCUAUUAUAGGGCCAACCCGUCUCUGUGGCAAAAGAGUGGGAAGAGCUCCGAGUAGAGGUGACAAACCUACCGAGCCUAGUUAUAGCUGGUUGUCUAGGAAAUGAAUAGAAGUUCAGCCCUCAACAUGCCCCGCCUCGACUGCAAAGAGCACAUUCGACUCCGGGGUUAGACAGAGGCGUUAGUCAAAGAAGGUUCAGCUUCUUUGAACAAAGAUACAACUUUUUAAGGAGGCUAAAGAUCAUAACUUACCAAGGAAUUAAUUGUUCUAGUGGGCUUAAAAGCAGCCACCUAAUCAAAAAGCGUUAAAGCUUGUACAAAAGUUCCAUCCCCUAAUUAUGACCCAAUUAUCUUACUCCCCUAAAACUACUAGGCCUUUUCAUGCCCCCAUGAAAGAGACCAUGCUUAAAUAAGUAAUAAGAGGGCUCGACCCUCUCCCUGCACACGUGUAAGUCGGAUUGGACCUCCCACCGACACUUAACGACCCCAACUCCAAGAGGGAAUUGAACUUUAUCCAGGUUAAGACCAGAAGGACACUCAACAACUAUCGUUAAUCCCACACAGGAGUGCUACACCAGGAAAGACAAAAAGAUAAGGAAGGAACUCGGCAAACAUAAGCCUCGCCUGUUUACCAAAAACAUCGCCUCUUGCAAGUAAAUGAAUAAGAGGUCCCGCCUGCCCUGUGACCCACCAUAGUUUAACGGCCGCGGUAUUUUGACCGUGCGAAGGUAGCGCAAUCACUUGUCCUUUAAAUGAGGACCUGUAUGAAUGGCAUAACGAGGGCUUAGCUGUCUCCCCUAUUUAGUCAAUGAAAUUGAUCUCCCCGUGCAGAAGCGGGGAUAGCACCGUAAGACGAGAAGACCCUAUGGAGCUUUAGACAAUCGAACGGCCCAUGUUGGGCAACUCAGCACAAAUAAGUUGACCCUUAAUGAAGCCCCCGUUUCUAUGUCUUUGGUUGGGGCGACCAUGGGGAAAAGAAAAACCCCCAUGAGGACCGAGGGCCCAUCCUCCCCUCAUAACCAAGAGCCUACCACUCAAGGAAUCAGAACCUCUGACCCUACUGAUCCGGCCACCCGCCGAUCAACGAACCGAGUUACCCUAGGGAUAACAGCGCAAUCCCCUCUCAGAGCCCAUAUCGACGAGGGGGUUUACGACCUCGAUGUUGGAUCAGGACAUCCUAAUGGUGCAGCCGCUAUUAAGGGUUCGUUUGUUCAACGAUUAACAGUCCUACGUGAUCUGAGUUCAGACCGGAGUAAUCCAGGCGCGUUUCUAUCUAUGACUUGUUCUUCUCUAGUACGAAAGGACCGAGAAGAAAGGGCCCAUACUACUAGCACGCCCUACCCCCACCUGAAGAAAUCAACUAAAACGAGCAAGAGGACGAGCCCUACUAGCCCGUGCCAGAAAUAAUGGCAU